UCUGUAGGCGGUUGGGUAAGUUGGGCGUGAAAGCUCCGGGCUUAACCCGGAGAGGCCGUUCAAUACUGCCGAACUAGAGGGCGAGAGAGGGGAGCGGAAUUCCUGGUGUAGCGGUAAAAUGCGCAGAUAUCAGGAGGAACACCAGUGGCGUAGGCGGCUCCCUGGAUCGCAACUGACGCUGAGAGACGACAGCUAGGGGAGCAAACAGGAUUAGAUACCCUGGUAGUCC
rnacentral:rRNA from 1 species